UAGACACUGUCGCGCGCGCGAUUUUGCUCUGCGCGCGCGCGCAAACGCUGCCACGCGCGCGCAAACACCGUCUCACGCGCGAGAGGUGACAUGAAUUUCCUCACGCGCGCGAGCAGAAAUAUGAAUAUUUAAAUUAUCUCCUCCCACUGGUUAGCAUAACAAAUGAGGCGGAAGUUUGUUUAGUCCAUAGUAGUCAAACACAGAGAUCUCAGAUCUCAAUUGCUGAUAGACUAUCGUUGCUACGGUGACUGCAAACGACCACCUUUGAAACACAACUGAAACGCAACUCACGGCUGCGCUGACAAGGGCAUUCACCUCUUUAUUAGUAAACCCAUUUUAUUUUUUGGUGGAUGAAAACAUUGUGUCAAUAUGCUAUGUCUAUGUUCGCCUUAUUCACCCGGAACGUUCUAAAGACGUUGAGGGGUACACUUCAGGGGUACAUUCGGCAACGCACCAGCUGUCAUGCCGCCUCACUUUUGUGUGCCCAAAUGUUCGUCCUCAAAGAGAAAAAAAUCCUACCGUGGACAGACUUUCCACCGUUUCCCCAAAGAGCAGGCACUUCGCCGUGAAUGUAUAAAUCACAUCAAGAGGGAUCCUGGUCCAUAUUUCAAGGUAAGAUGCAAAAUUAUGUUCAAUCAUACGCAUUAGCUAGCACAAAUAAGCUAGCUCGCCAAACUUGUCAUGACUCAUGUAGCCUAAUGACGCGAAUGCCUCGGUGAAAUAAAAAAAAAUAUGAAUGUGUAAUUACACAACGCUACAUUUAUAUGAUAUUUCCAGAUCGCUAUUUUCAAGAUUAGGCUUUUAAUUGUGUGGUAAGCGAUCCGAUGGCCAUUGAUUUUGUGCUACCAGAACCAGUAGCAUAGGCCUACUUGAUUCCCUGAUUGUCGCUCCCAACGCAGGACGCUCCCCGGUCAGCUCGCUCCCACUAGCCAGACUAUCGAUCCCACCGCCAUAUAACGGAGCUAGUUAUCUUUUUGAUGUUAGUUUUUUGUUUCUAACCCUAAACCUAACCAUAACCCUAAACCUAACCCUAACCCUAAAUGGCUUGUAUGUGGCAGUGUAUGAUAAUACGUGAAAUAUAAUCGGGUGGGACUACACGUCCGGGAGUGAUAGAAACACCUGGGACUACACGUCCGGGAGCGAUCUCAGUUGGGAGUGUCCAUCUACCUCCCGGCCUACUUGUGCCAAAAUCAAGUUGUUUUGCUAACGAACUAAAAUGCAUACCCUGGUAUUUAUGGUUACAGAUCAACGCUGAGACCAAGGUUUGCUCUGAGCACUUUGAGAAGCAGUGUUUUGUAAAGACCGCCCGUGGUAUCACAAAGCUUAUAAGGAUGCCGUGCCACUUUGUUCGCCUGGACUUCAGAGAGGCCAAAGAGGAGAAUCAUCAUUCGCAGACCGAGAGAUGAUGACCCAUUCCUGAAGUUGGACGCCAGAAUGCAGGAAGGUGCUGUUUAAGAGCCUAGGCGGUGGAAGAAGCACUUGCAGGUAUGCUACCGACCAGGCUCCUCAACAUCAAUCCGAGACGGAAGAUGAACCGGGAUGAAGCAGUUAGAUUGAGACAAGGCGGCCGGAAACUUUGAUGACCUCAAUGACACUGGCUAGGUGAAGGACAUCAAGAAAAUGGCAUCCGGUCACCAGACAUCAGCUCAUAAGCCACAACGUCAUCAACCAUUUUGCGCCAAAAAUGAAGCCGUUCACAUACCAUGGCAUCCUAAGCAGGCAGCACCACACUACUGUGCAACAGUGAGAGAGAGCGGGCAAGGACAAGUAAAACGGACCUACACUACAGCAAGACUUUGACACUUCUCCACGUGAGAGGCAGCCAUCGCCCCCACCGUGGAGCAGUGUGUACCCAGUACCCCCAAAAGAGGAGAUGAUCCGACGCCAUCACAGCCGAUUUCCAAAAUUGUACACCAAACUCUGUAUGGGCGUGUGUGUGUGAGAUAUUGUAAAACUUUUCAGUCCUUCUUCUAUACUAUACAGUGUAUAAAUAUGCAUGUGAAAACCUAAAUAUGCAUUAAAAACCAUUACUGAGGUUAAGAAAUGCAUUAUAACAAAUACAUCUGAUUCAGGUGUACUGUACAUUGAAAUGUCUUUAUUUGCCACAAAUACAUCACAUCCUGGAAACCUGUACAAUGUGUGGAUUCAAAGGUCUGCCAGAUCUUUGUGAUGGCACAGGAUUGCAGUGGAACCCAAACAUAGCCUAGGAGCUCCCACGCCAUCUCACCAACUGCCGAUAUGCAGUAUGCCUGAAUUUCCUGUACAGCAAAGAAAUGUAGAGAUUGUGCCUUCAUCGAGAAUAGGUCAUUUGGAAUCACAACAAUUAUUCAAUUUACUUUGUGCGUGUGGUGUAGCUAUUGCUGUUAUUAUUAUGUUACUACU